CAAAGAUAGCGGUUGCCAAAUGUUUUUGCCUUUAUUUACUUGAAAUGUAAAAAAUCAUUCAAUGGAAAGUUGCAUCCUUUGGAUAUCGCAUAAAUAGACGACUGGAUCGUCUUAUUUCUAUUUUCAUAUGGAAUAUUGGCAGUAGAUGGUUGGAUUGUUUUAAAAAACUUGCAUAUCUGGAUAUAAUGUGAUUGAGAUUGUUUCAGCAAGGAUGGAUAAACAAAAAAGAAAGUAGUAUCGUAAUUUCUAUGUCUUAUUUAUCGUUAUCAAAACGGUAUGGUAACAAACCAGUCAAGCUACUGUUUACCCAGUUUCCAGCUUUAUUUUAUCGUUUAAAAUUUUUACUAAUGUAAAUUUUGUUAAAAGUCAAGGGUUAUAUGGAGGCAGAAUAGUUAUAUUUCAAUCAGAUCCUUUUGGAAUGAUUGCAAUUAGGAUUCUUGGUCUAUUAGGGCAUUUACUAUUUAACAGUAAGUUAUGACUCGGUAGAGUAGUAGGUAAAACAUACUUUAAGAAUAGUUCUUUGUUUGAUUAUUCAGUUUCCUUAAUUUUUUUGUGCUGAUAUUUUAGAAUAAAAAUACUAUUCAAUGAACAAUUUUAAUUUAUUUAUUUUAUUUUUUUUGCUUUUUUCCCGCUAUACUCCGUUUUUCAUUGCUAACUAAUUUUUUACACUGUUGUAGCCAUGAAUACUUAAU